rnacentral:snRNA from 2 species
AUACUUACCUGGCAGGGGAGAUACCAUGAUCACGAAGGUGGUUCUCCCAGGGCGAGGCUCAGCCAUUGCACUCCGGCCGUGCUGACCCCUGCGAUUUCCCCAAAUGCGGGAAAGUCGACUGCAUAAUUUCUGGUAGUGGGGGACUGCGUUCGCGCUUUCCCCUG